CUGAAGCUCAGCUUUUGUUGGGUGGAUGAGUGGCGAACGGGUGAGUAACACGUGAGUAACCUGCCCUCUUCUUUGGGAUAACGCCCGGAAACGGGUGCUAAUACUGGAUAUUCACUGAUCUUCGCAUGGGGGUUGGUGGAAAGGUUUGUUCUGGUGGGGGAUGGGCUCGCGGCCUAUCAGCUUGUUGGUGGGGUGAUGGCCUACCAAGGCUUUGACGGGUAGCCGGCCUGAGAGGGUGACCGGUCACAUUGGGACUGAGAUACGGCCCAGACUCCUACGGGAGGCAGCAGUGGGGAAUAUUGCACAAUGGGCGAAAGCCUGAUGCAGCGACGCCGCGUGAGGGAUGGAGGCCUUCGGGUUGUAAACCUCUUUCGCUCAUGGUCAAGCCGCGACGUGGGUUGUGGUGAGGGUAGUGGGUAAAGAAGCGCCGGCUAACUACGUGCCAGCAGCCGCGGUAAUACGUAGGGCGCGAGCGUUGUCCGGAAUUAUUGGGCGUAAAGGGCUUGUAGGCGGUUGGUCGCGUCUGCCGUGAAAUUCUCUGGCUUAACUGGGGGCGUGCGGUGGGUACGGGCUGACUUGAGUGCGGUAGGGGGAGGUGGAAUUCCUAGUGUAGCGGUGGAAUGCGCAGAUAUUAGGAAGAACACCAGUGGCGAAGGCGG
rnacentral:rRNA from 1 species